GUAGCUCGAGCAAGGGGACCAGAACCUGCAAACAGAUCCAGUCUGGGGAAAAGAUCGGUGUUCCUCUUCUUUAAAAAUAAGGAUAAGUGGCUGUGAAAUAAUAUCACAUAUGUCCGUCAACAUGAAAGCCGAUACAGAGUGUGUGAGGAGCCGGUCUUCAGAGGGAUCCUGGCUGUAUCAACCAGCAGCUGAGCACACAGCUGUUCUGCAGAGACGUGACGGGGCUACCACUACGAGGAAAACAGCUCUUAUGAAAAGUUCAGAUGUACAGUCCUGCUGUCAUGGAGCGUCAGUCUGUAUAAUGAGCCCCACACUAGAUGAAUCAAAGGGUUUUUCACCUUAUUGUAACAUGACAUCUGAAUGUAUGGCAUUUUGAGACACUUAUCUAAUGCAUUUACAAAGCUGCUGUGCAGGACACAUGUAUUAUAUUGACAUACUUCACACUUCCUUCCACACUUAAGGUAUAUUUAAUAUCCUGCUUUAUAUUUUGUUUUGACUUUGUGUACAUUUUUAUUCUGACAUGUAUAUUUUCUACUUUUGUAAUGCUAUUUCAUUUCUGUUGAGAUUGACAUUUGGAAUUGUUUAUUUCUUUGAAUUUGAACUGUGUAAUAAAGGAUCAAUAAAGUACUUAUCUAUCUUA